AGUGAACGCUGGCGGUAGGCCUAACACAUGCAAGUCGAACGGCAGCACAGUAAGAGCUUGCUCUUACGGGUGGCGAGUGGCGGACGAGUGAGGAAUACAUCGGAAUCUACUUUUUCGUGGGGGAUAACGUAGGGAAACUUACGCUAAUACCGCAUACGACCUACGGGUUAAAGCAGGGGAUCUUCGGACCUUGCGCGAUUGAAUGAGCCGAUGUCGGAUUAGCUAGUUGGCGGGGUAAAGGCCCACCAAGGCGACGAUCCGUAGCUGGUCUGAGAGGAUGAUCAGCCACACUGGAACUGAGACACGGUCCAGACUCCUACGGGAGGCAGCAGUGGGGAAUAUUGGACAAAGGGCGCAAGCCUGAUCCGGCCAUACCGCGUGGGUGAAGAAGACCUUCGGGUUGUAAAGCCCUUUUGUUGGGAAAGAAAAGCAGCAGGUUAAUAACCCGCUGUUCUGACGGUACCCAAAGAAUAAGCACCGGCUAACUUCGUG
rnacentral:rRNA from 1 species